GACGAACGCUGGCGGCGUGCUUAACACAUGCAAGUCGAACGGAAAGGCCUCUUUCGGGGGGUACUCGAGUGGCGAACUGGUGAGUAACACGUGAGUAACCUGCCCUUUACUUUGUGAUAACUUCAGGAAACUGUGGCUAAUACCUGAUAGGAGCUCCUGCUGCCUGGUGGGUGUUGGAAAUUUUCGGCGGUUUGGUAUGGACUCGCGGCUUAUCAGCUUUUUGGUGUUGUAGUGGCUUACCAAGGCUUUGACGGGUAUCCGGCCAGAGUGGGUGACCGGCGACAUUGGGACUGAGAGAAGGCCCAGACUCCGAAGGGAGGCAGAAGUGGGGAAUAUUGAAAAAUGGGUGGAAGCCUGAUGCAGCAACGCCGUGUGCGGGAUGACGGCCUUCGGGUUGAAAAAAGAUUUCGCUAAUGAAGAAGCUUUGUGUGACGGUAGUGGGUAAAGAAGCACCGGCUAACUACGUG
rnacentral:rRNA from 1 species